rnacentral:lncRNA from 1 species
CUAUAAGAGAGAAGCUCCUGACCUAAUUAGGCCAGAAGCUCCUCUCAGGUUUAUUCUCCAAAAUAAACCUGUCUUUGACUGUUGAGUUGCUUUUUGUGUUUCUUUCUUCCUUCUUCAACUCUUACAGAAGGGAGUGAAGAAAGGGAGGCCAAGGCAGAGACAGAGAUUCAAGGCAAAUUCAUGUUCUCAGUCUCAGAAGAGAAGAUGCCAGGACACAAGUCAGUAAGACUUGAGAAUGCCGCACUGAAGAGCUGGCAGUGUUGACAUUUUGGCUUCUGUUAUUAAUAAUGAGGAUGGUGAUGAUGAUAGUAGCCAUUUAUGGAGUGACGACUGUUUACUAGGCACUGAGCUAAGUACAGUACAUGGAUGAUUAAAACACAGGAGCAGAAAGUAUCCUUCACAACUGUCAUAUACUGAGUCCUCCAAAGCUUAAACAGUUAUGUGACUGCCAUGAAGCCUUUCCACGUGGCUGUGGAUGACUACCUGUGAUGUGCCCGUGCUCCAGUCCAGCCCACUACCUCUUCAGAAAAGAUGGCUGCUUGGUUUUAGAAACUAGACACCAAAUAACAAGAUUAUUCUAAUUUAUAUUGCUUGGGUGCUAUAUAUACAUAUAUAUAUAUAUAUGAUUUGAUGAACUGUAUUUUCCACUUCAUAGCUCAGUUCUCCUUUUCCUUUGAAUAAUGAAUUCCAUUUUGACAAUUCCUCAGGGUGACUUCUAUGGCUACUCAAGCCAAGCCUUGCCCUGGUGGGUAUCAAGUCCCUCAGCCCCACCACCAGCUCCCACUUGAAGGAAUGAGGCUCUGAUAUGGCAGAAGUUCAGAGCAGAGUCUUUUCAGCAGGAACAGGACAAAGCCAGAGACAGUGGGAGUGAAGAUGGGGACAAAGAAAGCAGAAUAAUUUUACCUGAGAAGAAACCAGGAGGCUUCUUCUUCUUCUUCUCUCUUUUUUUUUUUUUUUUUUUUGACUAUACAGAAGAAAACUAUCAGAGUUAGGUUAGAGAGUUGGGUUUGGGGUCAGGUUGUAGCAUGUGUUAUAUUAUGGGUUAAAUUGUGUCCUCCCCAAAAUUAAUAUGUUGAAGUCUUAACUCCCUGUACCUCAGAAUGUGACCUCAUGGGGAAAUAAGGUCAUUGCAAUAUAAUUAGGUAAAAUAAGGUCAUACUAGAAGAGGGUAGGCCCCUAAUCCAAUGUGACUGGUGUCGUUAUUACAAAGGGAAAUUUGGACAGAGACACACAUGGGGAAAAUGCCAGGUAAAGAUGAAACCAGAGAUCAGAGUGAUGCUUCCACAAACCAAGGAAUGCCAGAGAUUGUCAGCAAACCAUGUCAAGCUAGGGAGGGUCUUCCUCACAAACCCCAGGGACAAACAAUGCCAAUACCUUGAUCUUGAACUUCUCACCUCGAGAAUUGUGAGACAAUAAAUGUUUGUUGUUUAAGCCAAUUGGUUUGUGGUACUUUAUUAGGGCAGCCCAAGGAAACUGAUACAUGUUUAAAGAUUGUUUGACCUUUAUUUUAUAGGCAAAAGGAAAGCACAGAAAAAGUCAGGGCAGAGAUAUGAUCUGACCAAUUAAUCUGGUUUCCAUAUGUUAAAUUGACUAAACGGGGUGUGUAGGGGCUAGACUGGAUGGAGUCCACAACACAACUGCAAACUACAGUGUCUGGUGCCUAGUAGGUGAUCAAUAAAUAAUUUUAUCUUAUAUUUCCUAGUUCUUAAUAUCUGACAUAGUUCUUGCAUCACAUUUAAUGAUUGCAACCACCCCAUAAGGGAGAUAGUAUAUCUCGUUUACAAAUGAGCAAAUUGAUGUUGAAGAAUGGUGAGAGAUGGAGCCAAAAAUUAAAUCCAGAUUUGUCUGUUUCCAGGGCCCAAGUUCUUUACUACUAGCAUUCAUGAUCAUGUAGUAAAUAUAUGUUUAAUAACUAGGUGAAUGCAUGUGGAUGCUUGUGUUUGCAUUCAUGUGCAUAAAUAUGACUGAGAAAUAAAGCCAAAAAGAGUAACUGCUAUAAUAUAAAUUCAUCCCUUCAGGUUACUGAAGUGGAUAUUUUACAGGGAAAUUAAUUAGAAAAAGAAAUACCAAUAUGUAGAAAAUUCAUAAGCAUUUUAAUAAUUAGGAAUGAUACACAAUUUAUUCUGCUCAAGGAAAACUAAAUUAAGAAGCAGACUGUAGAUACAGGCAUGAGGAGAUUUGAAAUAUUGAGUAUUGGACCAGUCAAGUCAAAUUAAAAACUUAAGCCAAUUUAACCUCCACUUUGAUGACUUCUUUUGAAGUCUUUAACUGAUGUGUGAAAGAUCAUUUGACUCUCAAGAGUUUCCAUUUCAACUCACUUUCAUUUGUAUUUAUAACACGGGCACAGUUGAGUUUCAGUAGACUUAUAUUUUUUAUCUCUUUAUAUGGGUCACUUUCUGUUUCUUACCCGAUUCUUUACUGCCUUAUGUAUUCAAUAAAAUAAAAUGAUGCCUUUAUUCA